rnacentral:lncRNA from 1 species
UCCAUUCAAAUGGCUUUGGUUGAUGUGUAACGUUAUUUGAAGAUAGGGAAAGUGUACAGUAAUAAAAUGCAAACACAACAAAGACACUUAAUAUAGGUGUAACUCUCCACCAAACAAAGAAAAAGAAACGCACUACUUAGUGUCUACAUACGCUUAUUUGAACCUUAGAAUUUCUUCCCACUGCUUUAUUACCUCUGCUGCCCCUAUCUGUCAAAUAAAAAUCUUGAAUGAAUAGACAUAAAACUGAACACACUAAAGAGAGAAGUUAGCAAACAUCACCAGAAAAGUUCUUUCUCUCUUGGUGGGGUGGGUGGGUGUAGGUAGGUGGAAUGAAGAGGCUUUCUUGGACUCUUCUGCCAAACAAUGUUGCAUAUGCAUAGACCCUUCACAAGUGUUGGAUAAGAAGAAUAGAAAUAAAUAAUAGGAAAAAUUACCUACUGUAUGUGAA